CAUUCACGGAGAGUUUGAUCCUGGCUCAGGACGAACGCUGGCGGCGUGCUUAACACAUGCAAGUCGAACGAUGAAGCCGCUUCGGUGGUGGAUUAGUGGCGAACGGGUGAGUAACACGUGGGCAAUCUGCCCUGCACUCUGGGACAAGCCCUGGAAACGGGGUCUAAUACCGGAUAUGACACGGGAUCGCAUGGUCUCCGUGUGGAAAGCUCCGGCGGUGCAGGAUGAGCCCGCGGCCUAUCAGCUUGUUGGUGGGGUGAUGGCCUACCAAGGCGACGACGGGUAGCCGGCCUGAGAGGGCGACCGGCCACACUGGGACUGAGACACGGCCCAGACUCCUACGGGAGGCAGCAGUGGGGAAUAUUGCACAAUGGGCGCAAGCCUGAUGCAGCGACGCCGCGUGAGGGAUGACGGCCUUCGGGUUGUAAACCUCUUUCAGCAGGGAAGAAGCGCGAGUGACGGUACCUGCAGAAGAAGCACCGGCUAACU
rnacentral:rRNA from 1 species